rnacentral:tRNA from 1 species
GCCUCGAUAGUCUAACUAUGGGGACACCCACCUGAAAACCGGGAGAUCCGGGUUUGAUUCCCGGUUAAGAUA